ACGGUCGCAUGUAAUGGUUGGUACAUAUGUUACAGACAGGAUGAGCAGCGAACGGGUGAGUAACGCGUGGGGAAUCUGCCUUUGAGCGGGGGACAACAUUUGGAAACGAAUGCUAAUACCGCAUAAAAACUUUAAACACAAGUUUUAAGUUUGAAAGAUGCAAUUGCAUCACUCAAAGAUGAUCCCGCGUUGUAUUAGCUAGUUGGUGAGGUAAAGGCUCACCAAGGCGAUGAUACAUAGCCGACCUGAGAGGGUGAUCGGCCACAUUGGGACUGAGACACGGCCAAAAUUUAUACGGGAGGAGCAGUAGGGAAUCUUCGGCAAUGGACGAAAGCUGACCGAGCAACGCCGCGUGAGAAAGAAGGUUUCGGAUCGAAAAUCUGUUGGAGAGAAAACUUGUGAGAUGGAAGUCAUCAAGUGCGUAACUCCCGAAAGGAGGUAAUACUGCACGCCGGUAUACUAGUCCGGCUUGCCGGUUUUUGGCGAAAGGAACGCGAAGAACCUUACCAGGUCUUGACAUACUCGUGCUAUUCCUAGAGAUAGGAAGUUCCUUCGGGACACGGGAUACAGCUGGUGCAUGGUUGUCGUCAGCUCGUGUCGUGAGAUGUUGGGUUAAGUCCCGCAACGAGCGCAACCCCUAUUGUUAGUUGCCAUCAUUAAGUUGGGCACUCUAACGAGACUGCCGGUGAUAAACCGGAGGAAGGUGGGGAUGGCGUCAAAUCAUCAUGCCCCUUAUGACCUGGGCUACACACGUGCUACAAUGGAUGGUACAACGAGUCGCGAGACAGUGAUGUUUAGCUAAUCUCUUAAAACCAUUCUCAGUUCGGAUUGUAGGCUGCAACUCGCCUACAUGAAGUCGGAAUCGCUAGUAAUCGCGGAUCAGCACGCCGCGGUGAAUACGUUCCCGGGCCUUGUACACACCGCCCGUCACACCACGGGAGUUGGGAGUACCCGAAGUAGGUGCCUAACCUGCAACGGAC
rnacentral:rRNA from 1 species